rnacentral:rRNA from 1 species
CACGUAGUUAGCCGGUGCUUUUUCUGCAGGUACCGUCACUUUCGCUUCUUCCCUACUAAAAGAGGUUUACAACCCGAAGGCCGUCAUCCCUCACGCGGCGUUGCUGCAUCAGGCUUUCGCCCAUUGUGCAAUAUUCCCCACUGCUGCCUCCCCUAGGAGUCUGGGCCGUGUCUCAGUCCCAGUGUGGCCGGUCACCCUCUCAGGCCGGCUACCCGUCGUCGCCUUGGUGAGCCAUUACCUCACCAACUAGCUGAUAGGCCGCGAGUCCAUCCUUGACCGAAAUUCUUUCCAACUCCUAGCCAUGCGGCUGAAGCUCGUAUCCGGUAUUAGACGCCGUUUCCAGCGCUUAUCCCAGAGUCAAGGGCAGGUUACUCACGUGUUACUCACCCGUUCGCCACUAAUCCCCCAGCAAGCUGGAGUUCAUCGUUCGACUUGCAUGUGUUAAGCACGCCGCCAGCGUUCGUCCUCGAGCCACGGAUCAAACUCUA